rnacentral:rRNA from 1 species
GAUGAGCGCUGGCGGCGUGCCUAAUACAUGCAAGUCGAGCGAACAGACGAGGAGCUUGCUCCUCUGACGUUAGCGGCGGACGGGUGAGUAACACGUGGAUAACCUACCUAUAAGACUGGGAUAACUUCGGGAAACCGGAGCUAAUACCGGAUAAUAUAUUGAACCGCAUGGUUCAAUAGUGAAAGACGGUUUUGCUGUCACUUAUAGAUGGAUCCGCGCCGCAUUAGCUAGUUGGUAAGGUAACGGCUUACCAAGGCAACGAUGCGUAGCCGACCUGAGAGGGUGAUCGGCCACACUGGAACUGAGACACGGUCCAGACUCUUACGGGAGGCAGCAGUAGGGAAUCUUCCGCAAUGGGCGAAAGCCUGACGGAGCAACGCCGCGUGAGUGAUGAAGGUCUUCGGAUCGUAAAACUCUGUUAUUAGGGAAGAACAAAUGUGUAAGUAACUAUGCACGUCUUGACGGUACCUAAUCAGAAAGCCACGGCUAACUACGUG